ACGAACGCUGGCGGCGUGCUUAACACCUGCAAGUCGAACGGAAAGGCCCUGCUUUUGUGGGGUGCUCGAGUGGCGAACGGGUGAGUAACACGUGAGUAACCUGCCCUUGACUUUGGGAUAACUUCAGGAAACUGGGGCUAAUACCGGAUAGGAGCUCCUGCUGCAUGGUGGGGGUUGGAAAGUUUCGGCGGUUGGGGAUGGACUCGCGGCUUAUCAGCUUGUUGGUGGGGUAGUGGCUUACCAAGGCUUUGACGGGUAGCCGGCCUGAGAGGGCGACCGGCCACAUUGGGACUGAGAUACGGCCCAGACUCCUACGGGAGGCAGCAGUGGGGAAUAUUGCACAAUGGGCGGAAGCCUGAUGCAGCAACGCCGCGUGCGGGAUGACGGCCUUCGGGUUGUAAACCGCUUUCGCCUGUGACGAAGCGUGAGUGACGGUAAUGGGUAAAGAAGCACCGGCGAACUACGU
rnacentral:rRNA from 1 species